GGGGCAGAAAGGAGCAAUGUGAGGGCACAGGCUGGGAGCGGAGCUGCAGCCCAACACCAAGGGCCUGCAUAGGCUCCAAGUGCUUGCCUCUUGAGAGGAGGCUGAAGGACCAAGGCGUGAUCAUCCUGGAGAGGAAGUGGCUUCAGGGGAACCUAGAAGCAGCCUGUACCUGCAGGGUGGUCAUCGAGGAAAUGGAGCCAGAUUCUGAAACAAGAUUGGUUUGGAUUGGAAAAGGACAGAAAGGAAGAAAAUGGAGAAAAUUAGAAAGGCAAAAGCCCAGCUUGAACUCAACUUGGCAACUGAGUUAAAAAAGAACAGAAAACUUUUUACAAAUACACUAACAGUAAGAAGAGGACUAAGGAGAAUCUCCAUUCUUUACUGGAAGCCGUGGGAAAUGUGAUCACUGAGGAUAAGAAAAAGGCAGAGAUUCUCAAUGCCUUCUUUAUAUUUGUCUUUAAAAGUCAGACCAGUUAUCCUCUGAGUGCUCUACCCUCUGACCUGGAAGUAUCAGAUAGGCAGCAGAAUAAAUCACCCAUAAUUCAAGUGGAAACAGUUAGAGACCUACUACUCCACCUGGACUGUCAGCACUCCACAGAACCAGAUGGGAUCCACCUGGGGGUGCUGAGGGAGCUGGUGGAGGUGAUAGCCAUGCUACUUUCUACCAUCUAUGAAUGCUCCUGAUCAACCGGAGAGGUCCAAGAGGAUUGGAGGCAUGACUACCAUCUACAGGAAGGGUCAUAAGGAGGAUCUGGGGAACUACAGACCUGUCAGCCUGACUUCAGUGCCAGGUUUAUUGCACAGGAAUGAGACUAUUAGAACAGCAUGUCCACCAACCUCAGCAUAUACCUCAACCAGAAAAGGAAGGCCCAGGAGGGCAUAACCCCUUCUGAGUAACACACGCAAGCUGGUAACAAUAGACAAGGUGAAGGCUGAGGUGUACCACAAGAUCUGGACCGCUUGUAGGAUUUAGUAAAGUACCAGCUUAAGUAACAGGAACUUCGACCAAAAGCAAUACUCUGAUUCUCCUUUAACAACUGCUCAACUUCUCACUUGGCAUUCAUAGCAUUACACUGAUAAGUUAAAAGCUGUAGAGCUUGUGUAGCUACUGCAUAACUCGUUUCUCUGUUAGAAAUGUACUGGACUGAACAGCAGAAAGAGAUGGCUUCCAAAAUAGCCAAAGUUGAGAGAAAAUUUUUGAAAUAGUAUUCAAUCUUGCUGCAUGAGAUAAGGUACAGAUUUCAAAAAAUACUUUGAGUCAAAACAUUUUCUUACGGCUUUCAAAUCGGGGAGCAAGGAAUUUAAAUUGCUGGGGAAAAUAGUGCUGAAAUAUAUGAUCAUAUUGACUGUUCUCCGAGUAAUUUUUGCCCACUGAAUGUGUGAGCAAAACCCAAUUCUUUGAAAUUUUUCUCCUAGAAUAUUGAAGUAACUGAGUUUUGGAAACUUUGCUGUCUCUUUCUGAGCUGGCCCUACCACAAAAAUGAACUAUGGUUUGUAUUUUUUUUUUUUUUAAUGCCUGAAGGUUUAGUAGUCUUUAAGGAAGACUAUUUGAGAACAGUGACAUGAGUAGUUAUACACAACAUUUGACCAUUUGUCAAUUUAGGUUUAUCUUUGUUCUACCUAAGUUUACUUUAAAACUCUCCUAUGAGGUUAAAGUAUGAGUUUCAGUUGCUAAAUUUAGAGAUACUGUCUGAUAGAAAUAUCAAACACUACACAGUAUGAAGAAAAACUUAAGCUUACUUUGUACUGUAUUCUUAGUAUGCAAGGAAAAUAAGACGAAAGGAAGACAAGAAGAAAAGAGAUGGAAGGAGGGAGGGAGAAACCUUAAAUCAUUUGGAGAAUGACUGCAUAUUUGUUCCACAAGGAAUUCAUCCUAAGUGCUACCUAAAGUGGCUACAGGUAAACAUCCAGGCUCACAGGAACUUGGAGGAAGAAGCAUGGAGGAACAGAACUUGCCACAGUCCCAGGAUUCCUUGGGCAUGCCUUCUGCAUCUCUGCUGUCCCUGCAGGUCUGGGCUUCAUUACUCUCUGAACCUUACCCGUAAUGGGUAGGUGGGUGCAAACUGAGCAUCGCUGGUUCAGAGAAGGAAGUUGUGUUGAAAGAAAUCUUGUAGUAUGCCGGAGCUUCCCUUGGCAUAUCUUUUUCAGCCUUCCUUAAACUCCUUGAACAAGUCAGAGGAUGGCAGAGCCUGAUACUACUAGGGCCCAUGAACCUCCUUGUCACCUGCUGGAAGGGAACAUGGCAGGACAAGCAGUCCUGGGGAUUUCUGGAGAGCAUCGGGGACAAUGUGACAGAGCCUGGCUGGACCAACCAAGGCGUUGUGCUGAGAGAUCUGCUGUCCCUGUCAAGGUGACACUGGCAAGCAAGGUAGCAAUCCAUGUCAGCCUUGGCUGUAGUGAGCGUGAAAUACUGGAGGUGAUGAUCCUAAGAGGAGAGAGGGAGGGAUGGAGGAGAAUGGCAGAGCCCAGAUAUAGACAUCAGGAGAUCAGCUUGAGGAUUGCCCAGGAAGCAGGCAGCUGGGAUCAUCCAGAAGCAGCUCUGAAAGGCAAAGGAAAUGAGGCAAGCAGUGAGGUCUUUAUGGACCAUAUCCUGCAGAUGCAAGAUGGAGCCAUCCCAAUACCCAGGAAAGCAAGCAGAUGGGUCAGGACUCUGGAUUGACUGAGUGACUGAGCUGAGAAUUACUGCUAAGGCAUGCAGGAAUGGGAUUAGGAAGACCAAAGCCUUUGAAUUUUAAAAAUUGUUUGUAUAUCCCACAUUCUAAAGACAAAAUUUAACAGGUUAAAUAUCAAUAAUAUGUUAUCUGUCACUUUUUCACCUAUAUAUCAAUAUGUAGUCCAAAAGAAACAUUUAUGUAAGGGCAGAUUUCACAAGUAUUUUUAUCAUGUGAUUGUUCUCUGGCUGGAACUUUUAAUUCUUAAGGUCAUGCAGGUCUUAGUGCUAAUACUAGGUUAAUCUUGUGAUAUUAUCAAGGACAGGUGAAGCAACAGGUGCAAUCUAGAGAUGUAACACUAGAACUAAAUAUAUAUAUUUUUUCAAAUGAAAUGUUAUGUGUCUGUAAAUACAGGGAAAAACUUGAAAACAUUAAAAAAUAUCUCUGAUAGAGUAGGAGGCUAAAAAGAAAAGGAGUCCAAAUUGAUUACUCAAAUCAUGAAAGAUAAUCGUAUCACCUGGAUUUUAAGGAUGAACGUCUAUGAUGAAUGGUUUGAGUUGUCUGGUACAAAGCUGGAUUAUAUCAAUGGACAAGCUCUCGUUACUUGUAUGGGCAUCUGCAGUAGAAGGAAAAUUACAAAGCAGAGGUAUCCUUUUUAAAGGACCAUUAAGAACUUUUGUUGAAGCACUUUCCAGUUCCCUGCUGCUAUUAAGCAAUAUAUCACGUUUGUGGCUAUGACUUAAAUUUAAUGAAGUUUCAAAUAUUUUUAUAUAUUGCAACAAAAAGAAAUAAUUUCUUUCAUCAUAAUUAAAUAGAACUUAAAAAUUCUAUGGAAUGCAGGGAAGGUUAGGUUUCUUUUAAAUACAAGGAAACUGACUCACGACACCAUAUCCCAAGCCAAAGUCAGACAGGAAUUCAGCUGUAUUACUGGGAAUAGGAGAUUGAUCACUUUACUGCCAGUUCUGCACAGUAAACAAAACUGUCACUUGCUUCAAAAAGAGAAUAAAUGAGAGAGUGCUUUGACACAUGGGAUACUGAUGAUGUUAGAAGAGCUGAUGAUCUAAAAGAAGCCGGUAGUGAUUUGUUUAAACGGUCCUCUGAAGCAAUGAAGUUGCGAUGUGUCAGCGACUGAGAAAGCUGGACUUCGCCAUCCUCCCCUCUUCGGGGAGUGUUGCAAGAGGUAAACAUUCCCCAUCUUUUGGUCAUUUAUAACCGCAGCUCUUGUACAAUUGAGUGAGUAGCAGUACCGAGCCGAUCCUGACUCAGCAGGCAUGAUACAUAUUUUCUUCACCCCCUGCAGUUCCUUGUCAGCAAGCUUCAGUCAUAUUUUGCAUUGCAAGUUCUGUCUUUCACAUUUCCUAAAUAAAACAGUGCCAUGUUUGACACAUGCAGAAGGGCUGGAAAUGGAGCCCCUGAUUUUUUUAUGCUGAUGAUACGAUGAUCCCUGUUUUUCCAGCAAAACAAGGCUGGAAUUUUUCUCCUGACUCACCUGUUUUGUACAGCGUGUAUCCCAUCUUAAGUACUUCCUCUGAAUUCCCUUUUUAAACACCAUCUGUUCUAAAUGAAAACUGAUUCGGGAUGUUGUUUUUAUAAUCAGGUUCUCUAAUAGUGGCUGUAGAUCCCAUUGUAUGUUUUUCUUUCACUUCUAAAAGGAAAUUUCUUCAGGGUCCACCUGGAGAACAGCUGAAUAGGAAACCUACAGAUCCGCUGUAGUUUCCAAAUACAUCACUUCCUGUCCAGAUUUCCACACAGAAGUCCUUCAGACCUGCAGGACCCGUGUUCAAAAGCACAGUCCUUGUUUGCCCUGUCUCCCAGCUUGUCUACUUCAAAAGACAAACAAAGCUAAACUAAAACCCACCCACCUGGAUGAUGUAAUAAGUAUUGCAGGAUGUAGGUGAGAGAGGAAGAUCUUCAGACUGGGACCUUCUUUUCACGACACCACUGAGCAGGGCAAUAGGACAUUGAGUGAGAUCAGCACUCCACGACAUUAUUGCCCUACAAAUGUUCCUGUGCCCACAGGCACAGUGAGAGCCAUAUUUGAAAUUCUUUACUUUUGAGAUCACGCAGAGGUGGGCUGGGCAAACUAGAAUCAAGUCAUGUGUAAACAUUCAGCUCUUCCCUGCAUUGUUUCUUCUGCAGGUGUACAAAAAGACACAUCCAAAUUAAUACCAGUCACAGUGCAGGAAACAAAAUACAAUUUUAAGCUAAUUUUGUAUUUGCCUAGAUUUGAAGGCCUGGGAGCCAGAUGAGCUUUUGGUGUGACUCCAUAUUGCCGCAGGGCUGGAACUGGGAGGGAAUGUUUUUUGCUUUACCACAAAAAUUUGUGUUUUAGAAGAUAUUUCCAAUCCAUCAAGACGGUGAGGGAAGUUGUCCCAGAAUAGUUAACCUGCUUUGGGUGGUCCUCGGGGUGACUUGGACAAAGUCCUUGCUCUCGUGUCUUCGUUCUCAUGGGAACUUGUUAUCCCCUGAGCUGGCUAAUCUUGGAAGGAAUAGAAAUGGGAAGGAUGUUUCAGUUUCUCCCUUUGAAGCUUUUCUGUGUUAGACAUUAAAUAUUUGUGCAAGCCCAGUUAUGAGGACUGUAACUUGGGAUGGUGGAAGCUAAAAUUCCACUCCUUUCUUCUCAGAACAUUGUGAAAACAAUGAGAAGUGAAACAUUCCAACACAAGAGCCCAGGGAACUCCCCUCAGCAUUAGCCUGCAGUGUUGUGGUUAGGUGGCAGAGGUGAGAGUAAGACCAAUGAAUGAUACGUAACUGCGCAUAGCUUAUUGACUGAUUCACUGUUAUUCUCCAUCAGUUUGAAUAGAAAAAUCCCAGUCAUCUCUAUUGGAUGUUAAUUACAGUGCUCUAUAAAGGUAGCCGAAGACUGAUAAGACCAACAGAGGCUAAUAAGAGCUGGAGAAAAGGAGGUGUGCUGGUAAGAACAACUAGAAAGCCUGUAACUUCCCACCACCUCCGAUAGUCUGUUUACAUUGAUUUGUUUAUGUUGAGGGUCACUCAGAAUUAACAGCGGCAUACAUUUCCUUAAAAUACAGAUCUAAGAUGGAUUGGACCUAGCUCCUAAUUUUAACAGAGAUUUGCCACUGAACAGGAAGAUAUAUGUUAUUCUGUGCUUGGUAGUGACCUAAGGCAGCUAGUCACAACACUAGCCCAGCAGACUCACUCCAGGCAAACCUAGAUAAAGGAAAUCGACCUUAAAGUUCCUGAUGAGCCAUUUGUCACAGAUAAUAGUCAAGUUUGACUAUGUGGUCACCUGCACUGAAAGAUGCUUGGCAGUCAGAGCAUUCCAAGACAUGCAAAUAUAUCUGGGGUUUUGCUGGAUCCAGGGUAAGAUGAAACACUUCAUGACUUUUUUUCCUUUGUGUAAACCUGCUUACUCUUCAGUCCUUUAUGCUUGACUGUACUUAGCACAAAGAAAUGUGGGCACUAGUAUGGGACAAUCUUGAGAGACAGUAUAUUUUAAUGCGGAAAGUAACUUAGUAUAUUGAAAACUAAUGAUAAGAAGACUGUGUUCAGUUUAAUUUCAUUUAUGCCAAAAGAAAAUAGAGUGAUUGUAAGUCAUUGCCACCAUGAACAGAGAAAAGAGAGGCUUUUGAGCGGCAGAAGUCAGAGCCAUUUUGGUUGCUAGUCCCCAACUAACUUAACCUAUCCUGCAUAAAGCCAUGAUAUCAGGAAAUGUUUAUUUACCUGUCCAUAAGAGUAAUAUUUUAGGUAGGUUUGGGUAAUUUUCUGUUGUUAACAAUACAAGAAAAGAAGAGAUCAUUAACUUGUGUUUUGACCUACCAUUACUUCCAAAUCUCUGAAAAUGAGUCUUUGAAUUUAGGAAACAUAUAAUGAGUCAUAACACACAAUGAGUCAGCCUCCUGCUGGCUUUUGAAAUCUGUCUGGUUUUCAAAAUAACAUUCUACAUUUUAUAUAUCAGCUCAGUUAAUUACUAACUUUGCAUGUUCAGCUUUGCUGUCAGUAUGUGUUACUAUAAACCUGUCAAGAGGCAUCUUUUUUAAAAAACUCAUUCUUUAUUUACCCAACAUAUCAUGCAUGUUUGAAAAUUUACUUAAAAAGAAAAAAAAAAACAGGUGUUUCUAUGAGAGCUUACAUUACAGGGGAUGGAUCCACCUGUUGUGCUUCCCUGGUGAUUAACGUUUCUGAUUUUUCUUGUUUGUUUAUUGUCCACGUGUUCACAUUUUGCUAAAACAAAUUACUCUUUUUUUUUCUUCCCUUUUUUUUUUUUUUUUUUUUUUGUGGUGAAUAGUAAUAUAUUGGUGAGUGGUGAAUAUUUUUUUCCUUCAUAAAGCAUCACAAUCCAGACACGCUUUCAGGCGUUAGAAGGAACAUUCAUCUUACAGGUCUUACUGGAGCAUUAAAUCUCUCACUCUGUAAUCUUAUUAAUUAGCUAAUUUUAGUAGGGUAGACUGGAUGCCUAUUCCCAGUAGAGUUGUUCUCUGACUAAGGCAUGAGUCCGGGAUGUCUGCGUUACGUGUCCCUUUUUGCCAAAUUACCCAACCUCUUUGUGUGUCACUUUUUCCUUAAAAUGGGAACAACGUGUGGAGUGUUGAAGCACGUUUAAUAUUAGGAAAAGGCUUUGAGAUCUUCUCAUAAAAGUUUCCCCGCAUCCCUUCAGAAAAUUAUAAACGUGAGACUUUAUAGGACCUUCUCUGUGAGUAGUUUAGUUCCAAAAAUACCGAAGAACUCCAGGCUCCUGUGUAAGGUGAAUCAGCUUCAGUAUGUUUUACAAACAGGGAAAAAAUACAACCCUAAAAUUACUUGAAUAUGCUAUCAGUUCUUGCCAAGCUUAUUAUUAUUAAAAGUUAUUUUCUCUGUCUACAGAGAUACAGCUGGAGAUAUACAGAUAACUGCCAGACAGUGGGAAAAGCAGAAAAUUAGUCCAGACAGAGAGCCCCAGUGAUGUGGUUGGGCUGUUUCCCACACCUCCAAGUGCAUCUUCACAAUGGCACUGCAGCGAGCCUGGCAAGCUGCUCACACACAUGUCCACGUUGGUUCCUUCUGGGCCUUCGGUCCUGAUACUUAUAGUGGGGCUUGAGGAAGUGGGAAAGAGCACAGGCUCCUUCUGCACCUGCCCUCAGUCCAUCAGGUUACAUUUAACUUAAAAUCCUAGCUGAUUUGGGGGAGAAUUUGCAUCAAAGUUGCUGCAUAAAAUGCUUUGAUGUGCUGUUUAGCCUGCGUUAGCUGAGAAAGUCAGCUUGACUCAUACACCACACCACUGAAAGCAACACUCUGAUGUGUCAGUUCUAAACUGAUGUAAGUGUUUUACAGUACCAUUAAGCUUUAACAGAAGUUUUGAAGUCCUGAAGAAAUAGAACAAGCAUCAGGAUACCAGCAAGUGCAUGUAAUAUCAAGAGUAAUGAAGACUGCAAAGUGUUGGUGAGUUUGAUCGCUGACCUGGAGAAUAAGAUGCAGAGCAAAAAGCUGAACAAGCAGUGGGGAUGGAAGCUCCAAAAUCCAAAGUAUUUGUCAAAAUAUAUUAAUCACACCCUGUACAGAAUACCCAAAGUAUUGCUACAUUUUUAUUUCUCUCUGGGCCAAAUCCCUCUGCUAUUUUCAUAGUAAAGAAAACAAAACAAAAAAAACUCUAUUUCCCUGAAUGGGAAUAUUGCAAUUACUGCAUUCUCAUGGGGGAAUAGGGAGAAGAAUGCAGAAAGAUAAAAUAGUGGUUAUGCAAACAGAUGUAAAUUUGGUGGUAAUUCACUUUCCCAUGUUAUUAUUAUUAUUAUUUUUUUUUGGCCAUUUGGUAUCUAGUGAAUAUGAUUCAUACACUUGCAGCUUUGGAAAAAAUAGGAAUAGAAUUAUUAAUUGUUAGAAAAUCAUUUCUUAUUGUUUCUGGAUUGAUCUGUUUCCAAAGCCAAAGCUGCUUAUUUAAUACAAUCGUAGAUUUUCAGUAAAAGGAAAAAAAAAAAAUUGAUUUGAGAAUUUUAUCUUUUUAAUAACAUUAUGCAUGAUGAAUAAUUCAGUUCAUUUGCAAGAACUUUAAAUGAAUUUUAACCUCCCAUAAGUAAAUUUAAAUUUGCUCCUGGCGUGAAUAAGAAAACAAUUAAACUAAUACCAAGAAAAUGGCAUUCUGUAAUUUAGAGUGGGAUCUGGACUUUAUUAUCCCACACAGCAGAUGGAUGAGCUUCCUUAACCACGAAACUCUUGGCUUUUUUGGCACACCUUCCUCAUUUCCACUGACUUUAUUCUGCUCAGACAUUUUAAUUAAAUACGUUCCACUUUUCUUCUUUAGCGGAUGCCUUACAAAAAUCAUUUUGUCCAAAGGAAAAAAAAAAAAAAGCAUAGUGCCAUUUUAGAGCUUCUGGUAGGCUUUUAGUCAUAUGACUAGAACUACUGAAGUGAAUCUCUGUUUUAAUAACCUUGUGGGUACACCUUCCCUGGAUUUGUCCAACUUGCAUGGUAUUCCUCAUAUAUCCAUAGGAGAUCCAGUGCUGCUCACCAGUGUUUGGGAAAGCAGCUCGAGGGACAGAAGGAAGACCCCACUGAUGGAUCCAGAAUCUGCACCUUCCUGAGCAGACCUCAGAAGUAGAAUAGCUGCGCUGUUAGGUGUCUCUGGGCAAAGUCUUUUUGUAUGUUUGUUUUUAGUGCAAAGCUCCUAGCUUCCGUGCACUUAAAAGGAACUACCAGAAGAACUAAUACAGUACUUGAUCCUUUUGUUUUAGUGCUUAUCUAUGGGGAUGACAUCUGUAUUCUAGAGGGAAACUGAUAAGGGAUUUUUCCAAGAAUUUUACAUUAAAUUUCAGAGUUACUUAUGACUACUACAUGGACUUAGAAGAGCAUGAGAAUGUCCAUGCUGAGCAAAGGCAGUCAGUGGCCUGCUCAGAGUAGCCACAAUGGGAAUCUACAAGAACCCUGCUCCUGACACUGUAGGGCAGGGUAUAAUUUUUGGAGGGCAGGACUUCUGGGUCCAGAGGUGGGCCACAAAGAUGAUCAAAGGGUUGGAGCAUCUCUCCUACAAAGGCAGGCUGAGGGACGUGGACUUGUUCAGCCUGGAGAAGAGAAGGCUUCAGGGAAACCUCAUUGCAGCCUUCCAGUAUUUAAAGAGGGCUUAUAAACAAGAGGGAGACUGUCUUUUUACACAGAUAGGUAGUGAUAGGACAAGGGGCAAUGACAACUAAAAGUGGGGAAAUUUAUAGUAGAUGUCAGGGAGAAGUUUUUCACUGAGAGGGCAGUGCAGCGCUGGCACAGCUGCCCAUAGAAGCUGUGGGUGCCCCAUCCCUGGAGGCCCUCAAGGCCAGGUUGGAUGGGGCCCUGGGCAGCCUGAGCUGCUGGGUGGCAGCCCUGCCUAUGGCAGGGAUUGGGGCUCGGUGGGCUUUGAGGUCCCUUCAAACUCAAACCACUCUGUGAUUCUAUCCCAUCCCUGUGAACGGUGGAAUCCCCAGCCUGGGGAAGCAGUAAGAAAAAGCUGCCCAGUGCCAUUGCCUUCCCAUUUAUGAACAAUUCACUUCUGUAUUGUAAUUUUAAGGGAGCAAAAGUAAAGGCAGAGCGUUGAAAGAGAACUUUGUCUUCCCCUUCUUGGUGGAAAACUUAGAAACAAACAUUGCAAAUAUGCAAACAACCGCACCCAAAUUUCAGCCUCAGGUGGCUUGUAACCCCUAUCCUAUUGUUUUAAUUAAACGGACAGAAUAUAUUUGGGCUGAACUGAUGCGUUCAGUUGAUUUUAAACUCCACAUUGAAAUUCUCAUUUCAAAGUCGCAAGAAUGUAUUUGCCCUUGGGUAUGAAAGCUGUUGCAUCCUGUUGCAGUGGGAGAUAAAAUAGAGAAAAGAGAUUGUCUUAAAUACUUCUGAAACCCUUUGAUUAAUAACCUGAUUUAGUGUUCAGACCGACACGCCAAAUUCUAACUUAAGAUCUGUCGCAAGGAAUAGCUGACCCCAGAGGAGAUUAAUGGAUGCCUGUGAUCUGCUUGCUUCGUUCUUCAGAGCCUUUAAGUUGAGAAAUUGAAAUUUGGAGGAAUUUUCCAGAUGUGGGCAGAAGGAAGAAAGUCCCUGCAGUACUUUCACAGCGGCUUGCAAGAUUCUUAGAGACUUCUGCAUUUGAUUUAUUAUUAUUUCAUCUUCUGUAUUUCACUUAUUACUCUUGCUUGUGUACUUACCCGACUCCUUUUUUCUUGCUUCAACAGUGAUGGAUCGCUGCCUGUCUGUCUUCUGAGUUAAACAACUGUUCUACUGCUUUAGAACUUGCAAGUGAAAAAUACUAAGUUUGACACAUACAGAACCCUUGUGUCAACAAAUAAAUAACAAGGUUACUAGUUAUUCAGAGAGCAUCUAAUGAAUGCUUCCAUUUAGACAACAUAGGCGAACAAUUUUUCCUCCGUACCAUGUUUUCUUUAGUAAUUGCAUGCAGGAGGAUUUAUCUGGGGUAAUUUAGAAGCUGAUUGACUCUUUACUGCUUUGUUUUUCAUAAAUGCUGACACAGAUAUUCCUCAACUGCUCCAGAAUCUCUACUUAGCCUGAUCACUCUGCUGGCUAGGGGGAAGGCGAGAUUGCUCCAAGUUUAAUCCUGGGGAAUGCUACAGUUGGUAGCCUUCUCAACAACAACAAAAAACAAAGCAGUAUAACUAAUGCCAGGGGGGUGGGGAGAAAAAUCUUACUGCAUUUCCAGCUGUCGUCUCAUUAUAAAACCAAAAAACCCAGCAAUUGUGUUUGAUGAAAACAGCAGCUAGCUAAAUAGUGUUAGCAGAUAAAGCUGUUCUGUUGCCUCCACCUUUGUGAGAGCUCAGGGGUGUGAUUUCUCUGAAAAGGCACUUGAUAAAGAAGCUUGGUUUGUGUUUGAAAUUUUUAUAUAUCCAAAAAUUUGUUGUGUAUUGAAAAUCAAUACUUAGUAUAGUUAAAAUGGUUGGGCUCUUUUUUCAGUAAAGUGAGCUGGCUCUUAUUUGAAAGGUGAAUUAAUGCAAUGGCUGGAAAACAUUGACAGAUGGAUCUUGGCAGUGGUCAGCAGAGGGCUUCUAGAAACUUAGCUGCUUUAUAGGUGUAUGGAGGAAUUGGAUAAACUCGUGCCAAUAUCUUAUAAGCAUUGUUUGUAUGUAAUAUGGACUGUUUAUGCAUUUUUCUGUGCUUCCUUUCCCUUUUUUUUUCCCCUGCCGUACAGGAGCUACAGGGUUCUCAUCAGAAUUCAUACAUCAGUAAACUUUCAUGCAGGCUUUACCCACAUGUGGGCUUCCCACCACAGACCUCCUAGGUACCUUCAACCUGGUUGUUGCUGGUGCUGCCAUAAACAUCUGGCAGAGAAGUCUGCUGAAGGAAAGCCUUUGCUGUGUGAUGACAAAAUUAAGAGCUGCACAAAUGGAUAAAAUUAAGGUUGCCUGGGUUACCUUCAGGCAUUUCCUGCCUGUUCCUUGCUCAGCUCUGCAAACUUGUUGCUUGUUCAUUUUGGUAGAGCAUCUGUAUGUACGUAAGCUUCAGGACUUUAAAACCGCAAACAGAGCUGUGUGCUGAAGUAAAAGGUCUUGUCACGGUCCCAAGGAUAAUUCUCUGCCCAUUUUUCAUGUGACAGUUUCCCAGAUGUUCUCACCAGGGAUGAAAAGCUGGUGUGGUGUGCUUGGGAGGCUCAGCAUACUGUGAAGGUUCAGACGUGUUUUGGGGCCUGACAGUUUUUUCUCCCUGUCUUUGCUUAGGAUGAGCUGAAGAGAAAAAUUCUAGCUCUUAAACGCCUGUUAGAGACACCUUUGCAAACAAGGUAAUCUUUACUCUGAGGAUCCAGCGAUGGGUGCAGGGACACAGCAGUGAAGGCCUGAUCCUCCCACACAUCCUUCUAAAUCCUGGGGGAUUCAGGCAGGUUGGGCAGCAGGCCAGGAUACCUUCUUAGUGAGUUGUCUAAGGUCAAGAUGGAAAUCACUGGCAAAAUCAGGAGGAGAACUCAGGUACCCACAGCUCACAUCACACAGGAACACUGCAAGAUGCUGAGGCUCUCUUAGGGUCAAGUAGUUCACAAAGUGCAGUGUCUCUCUGCAUCUGAUAUAAAUGCAUGAGUUACACCAAAUUUGAUGUAUUGUAGAGGAUAUUAUGAACAAUGUAUUGCAUUAAAGACAGGCAUACAUUUCUGCAUUCUCAUGGAAAGGAGUGUUAUGAACCGCACAAAAAGAUCAAUUCAAGCUUUCAUUCAAUACUUUCCCGAUCUAAAGAUCAUAUUUGUUAUUUGUGUAUAUUUUUACACAUAUUUACAGUGUUUGAAAUUGAAGAUGACAUGCAGGAAUAGGGCUGAUAGAUUUUUUCUAAAUGCACAUUUAUAAAGGUGACUAUAAUUCCUAUUUCGUAGGCUCUCCUGACACAGUCACCACUUAGGGACUGUGAUUUUGCCUUGUCUAUGUCAGUGUACAGUGCUUUUUGCUAGAUAUGGCUUCCACGUAUUUCUUCAAUUUCUUCUCUUGCAGAAGUAGGGUCAAGAAAAAAUGAAGCCAAAUAGCACGUGGCCAUCUUAGUAGGAGUUUUUGUAUUGCAUUUGGUGAUUUGACUUCAGUUAGUUAUUUUAAAAGUUAGUUAGCUUAGGUUUCGUAUACUAUACAUCAAGAAAAUCCUUUCCAAAAACCUAAAUCAUAAUAAUAAUUAAAAAAAAACCCAACUCUUUGUGUAAAUGCUGGAUAUAAAUUAGACCAUGACUUUAUGUUCCUGUGACCAAUCAUGCACUAGAGGAAAUAAUUCACUGGAAUUAGGUUACUCUCUUAUGCCAGUUUGUCUUCUUUCUGCUAGAAAAAAAUCAUCUGCAGAUUAGCUGGUGGUGAAAAGAGAAUGCCAUCAGUACAGGGAAAUUGCCUGAGCUGCGUUAAUCCGCUUUGGCUAAGGGGGAAUGUCCAGCAGGCUGUUUGUUAUGUGGAUGUUUACGGUCUUGACAAGUGCUUUCUAUGAAAGGUUACUAUUGCAAAUCCAAUGGAUGUGGCUUCCACCUUAAAACGGUGGUCUGCGUGUUCUUUGAAGUGCUUUUCCACAUCAGAUUUCAAAAUGAGGCCGAAGGUCUUCUGCUCUGCACAGGCUUUCUCUGCUGUUUAAUCACUGCUAAUCACACUGAAACAUAGCUCGUGUCACAAGCAUUCAUUUCACUUUGUGAAAUCCUGGACAUGUGAGCGCAGACUUUGAUGAUGUGCAGUGUCUGUGCACUAAUUGCAAGGGAAUUCCAAGAGUAAUUUUAAUUUGCUCCUUGGCUAUGAUCAUACACAGCUGUCAUCGUUGUGCACCUGUAUAAUCUGCUUUCAAGAGCCAAAUUCUACAAGUUUGGGCUUUUUGCAGCUCUGGAUUUGGGGGCUUUGUUGCUAGCCGUUAGAUUUAUUUAACCAUUACGAGCUAUUAAAUUUACUCAACCUUGUCAGUGUGGAAAUGUGUGACAUUUUCAGAAAGACAUAUAAAUUCUAAGUUGUGAGCACUGGGGAGGACAGACCAAGAAGCAGCUCAUCCAGGUGAAAAGUAUCUAAACUGUAUCAUUUCAUUUGUUGACAUUUCAUCGAGGUGCAUGAGCAUAUUAAGUGAUACGACUGAGUCACAUUGACAUGACACGUAGAGUGCAUUGUGUUUUGAGACUGUUUUGCUGGCUAGCAGUGGGAGUCCUGGAGCAGCGAUGGCUUUGUUGGCAAUGGGCUGCACCUACCAGCAUACUGACUGGUGACACAUCCCCCCUGCACAGAGAUUUUGGGCAGGAAAAUACAAAAUAUAUCAUUCAAAAGGGCUGAACUUAAGAAUGACUUGGCUUGUUUCCUCCUUUGAAUAAGGCACAAAUCUUUUGUUCCGAGGCUGUGGAUAACCAGAGUGGGACAGACAAGUCAGUGCCUCCUAGGAAUCUGCAUCAGUAUAAAAAAGAAGUGGCAGGGCAGGAGAUAUACCAUGCCCCAGAUAUACCAUUCCUGCGCCCAGAAGGUUGGCACAGCCUCAUUCACUGAUGGGUUAAGCCAGUCCUCUGGCCUGUAAACUUGUCUGUGUCACGAGUUGUCCUGUGUUUACUUUUCCUGAUGUUUCUGCAAGGUGCAGUUCAAGCAGUGAUAAAGUGGAAUAAAAUAGAGAAUUGGACUCAUGAGCCUUAAAAGUGCAGCUCAACCAGUGAUUAUAGCUGCCACUCAAAGCAAAGUUGCCCAAUAUGACAGGAUCUGAGGAAACAUGAAAAGGAGAGAAUGAUGGGGCAGGAUGAGUUGAGAGAAGGGAAUCUAGGCGAGGAGGUGUAGAGGUAUUAAUAUUUUCUCACAUGUAGCCUGCAUGUAAAAUUACAAGUGAGGUGGAAGUUACAGAUCUGUAAUUCCACUGGGAUUUUAGUGGAUCAGGCUCCUGUGGUUUAUGACAUUACCUGAAUCUUUUGAUAGAACUGCAGCCCUAUAAUUCACAGCUGGUUGUAAUUCAUUCAUAAUAUAAAUCUGUCAAGAGCUUUCGGUGAUACCAUAAACUAUAACAGCACUGUUCAGAAUUUGAAAUAAAGAUGUUGACAUUGUUUAUAAUUGGACAAGGAACUGACAUCCACUUAUUUUCAUAAUUUAUGAGGAAAAUGAAAAACUGUACCUAGAUGUUAGGUGCACAUUUUCAGUAUAUUCCUUUGACUGUGACUGUCAUUUAUUAAGAGAUCAUCCUGUGCUAAUUGAGAGACUUCCACUUUUUUUUCUGGCAUAAAUUUGUGCAUCUCUUAUCAUAGGCUGUUGCAUCUCCGCUGUGCAUCAUGGUGUUUUGAAGCAUCAUAUCUAUAUGUACUCCAGCAUACUAUAGUAUUUAUACAUGACAAACAUAAAAUAUAUCUAUCACGCUAGCUGUCAUCCAGCAAUGAGUAAAAGCAGUAAAUAACUGUUCUGGGAAUGGGCCAGUGGGUAUUUUGUUUUCCCUGAGCUAAAUCAAUAACAGCUUGUUUGCUGUAUGUCUUGUCAUCUUCCCCGGAGUCAGUGGUGUGCUUUAUUGACCUUAAUAACUACUAUAAUAAAUCCAGUAGAAAUGAAGAAAGCUCUGUUCUGUAAUGAAAAUCUGUAGCUUAUCUGUCGUGCUGUCCUAUGUAAAGAGCUGUAUUCAUUCUGCCCUAUUCCCCAGGACUCUGACAUUAGAUAUGCUGCAAGAUUAUUAACUACCACAGAGCUUCAUGUGAAAUUCAUCUUACAGUUUUUCUACGCAAUGGUAUUUCCUCUAAUCUCAGCUUUGAUCUUCAACUGAUUGAAUUUUGUUUGCAUCUGUCCGAUAUUUUUAUGACUUCUUUAACUGAGCAGACUUAUGAUUAUGCAAAAAUGUGUAAAUGAAAGAGAACAAGGUUUGUGCUGCAUGCCGUUAGUUUUCUUUGUAAGUAAAAUUAAUUGAUCACCAAAAGUUGUGAUCUGAAACCAGUUUCUCCAUUCCUGUUGCGUAUGUUUUAGCCUAGGAAUCAGCUCUGAAGCGUACAUUUUCCCUGACUGGAUAACCAAAGUACCUAAAGCCAUUGGUUCUGAGAGGUCUUUUAAAGCCUAGUUUACCUUCAGAAAUAUUUGGACUCUGAAUCAUCGGUGAUAAGUAUGGCGGUACCAGUAUAAUGAGGCAAACACUUAAGGGCUCUUUCAGAAUUUAUUUAUUUAUUGUCAGCAUUUUCUCCAUUUCACCCUGGUUUAGUAGAAACAGAGACCAUCUGCUGACUUUAUAUAAGCUCUGUACUUAAACACAUAGUAAAAAUCCAGUGGUGUUUGACUGUCACGACUUGGGUCACCCAUUCAUGGCUUUAGACCUUGCUCUCUUUACCCUCAGUGUAGACUGUGCUGUUCCUAACAAAGCACAGCUCUCUCAGGAAAUACCAGAUGCUUCCCAAGCUACAUGUGUGUUCAUGAGCUACUGUCAGGAAUACUGUCAGGUACUGACUCUUCAUGGCAGGAUUCCAACUUAAAAAAUGGAUUAUAUUUGUGAGUUGGAUGAUUCCUUUCUCAGUGAAAAUCCCUAAAAAAAAAAAAAAGCUUUAUUUGGAAAGAUCUUAAUAACUAAACAUUGCUAGAUUCUGAGUUAAGAAACAGUUUGCUGAUACGUAUUUCUCGAUUGCAUAAUGUCAAGCUAAAGUCAGGGUAAUUAGACAUAAUGUGCCCUUUUUGGCUCCUGUUUUAUCAUGGUGAGCAUAAAGACCGACUGCAAAAGGUCCUGUGAGAUUGCUGUGAGUUCUAAUGCUGUUCUGUCAGCAUUUCAAAAUUUGUUACAGAGCGACGUAUAGAUAAGUCUAAUGCUGAAGUCAAAGCAAUUUCACAAUAAACUUUUACAAAAUGAAGACAACAGUCCCUUUGUUGGCCUGUUUCUCAAGAUGAGAAUGCUUUAGUCUCCAUGCUGUUUCCUGCUGCCAAUAUUUGUUGGAAUAUCAAUUAUGCCUUUGUGAAUUUUUUAGGAGUAGUGUAAGACUGGAAGAAGGAAACCUCAUGAAUGGAUCUGAUGUAGUUUGGACAAAAGAUGCUGGGGGAGGACUACAGAGGAAGAAGUGGUAUUUAGCACAGCGUGAAGGCAGAAGACGGCUCACAAAUGCUGGCUCAUUUCAACAGUGUCACACAAUGGAACUGUUCGGAAGGUUCUGGCUACUAGAAAUUCCCAGUAAACACCAAGCACAGUGGUAGAAGGUGACUUUCAGUAGUAAGUUUGAAUUAUUUAUCUCUGUUCCCUAAGGGCAGGUGCUUUCAGAACAGUAAUCCUGCUACAUGAGUACUAGGAGAAGCUGGGUUUCUAAUCAAGCUAAAAAGCACAAGCAUGAACACAGCAUGAAGCAGGAGAUGUGCAACCAUUUAAUGUAUCACUUCCGGGGAAUUAAGAAAUGAUAACUUGUUCUGCUUUACAGAGCACUAGCUUGGGUUCUUUGCUACCCUGCUUCAUAGGGUCAUAGAAUCAUAGAAUCCUUUGGACUGGAAGGGACAUUUAAAGGUCAUCUUGUCCAACUUCCCUGCAAUGAGCAGAGACAUCCACAGCUUUAUCAGGUGCUCAGAGCCUGGUCUAGCCUGGCCUUGAGUGUCUCCCAGGGACAGGGCUUCUACCACAUCUCUGGGCAACCUGUUCCAGUGCCUCACUACCUUUGUUGUUAAAGUCAGCUUGGUCUGGAAGUUUCCUUAUGUAAGGAAAACUUCCCUGAUUCCAAGAUUAUUGGCUCAGAAUGGGUCCCAAACCACAAGCACUUCAGUCAUCAAAUGAGUCAGUAUCCUCUGAGGAUGUUAUUAAUAGCAGGAAAGACAAAACACACAGCUUUAAUUUAGCACACAUUUCAGGACACAGCAACACCCAGCUUAGUCUUUUGAAGUUGUUUUUCUUUUUAUGUUUACUUUUUCCUGAGAAGGGGUUCACCUACUUUUCUGAAAACAAGAGGAAACCUUCUCCCAUCACAUGAAGCAAACAUCUAGACAAAAGCAGAUUCAUUAAGUUAACCUUCAAAGCGGAACCGCUUAUCUGUUUUCAACUCAUAAAGUUUAGUUAUCAUAGCACUCGGCAAAGGCUGCUCUGAAUUCAGCCAUGCAUUUUUAUUUUUAGUCCAGACAAAAAAAAUCCUUCAGGUUUGCUAUCAUUCAGAAAGGAAACCGAAGUUUGCCGUUGUGUUACCAACUUCAACUUCAUAACUUAGCCUAGAUCGGAGCUCAGAAACUGCCUCACUUUGCCAACGCAGAGCCAUUCUGCCAAGUUAUUGUUCACAAGCUGGAUGGCUGCAGUACUCUACCUAUACCCUGAGCAAGGACUUGACUGACUUCCUGAAGGUUUUGCUCUGUUAACUGGAAGAAGCAACACUGUUAUCCUGCUCACCCUCAAGAUGUCAGUAGGUUAUUCUGCCAGGUCUUGCUUUAGAUGAUUUCCCUCCAUCUCCCUUGAUUCAGCUAGGAUUGUUAUGUGAGUAUGUUGGCCUUCGCUUCCUCUCUGAAGAGAUUUCCAUCUGGUUUUGAAGUCUUUAAACUUGAAAUUUUCACACAGAGGGUGGUGACACGCUGGAACAGGUUGCCAAAGGAGGCUGUGGAUGCCCCAUCCCUGGAGGCAUUCAAGGCCAGGCUGGAUGUGGCUCUGGGCAGCCUGGUCUGGUGGUUGGCGACCCUGCACAUAGCAGGGGGGUUGAAACUCAAUGAUCAUUGUGGUCCUUUUCAACCCAGACCGUUUGGUCUGGAAAUUUAUAUGAUUAUAUGUUUCUAUGACACACAGUUUGUGCUGAAUGUAGAAGAAAUCAGCUAUGUUAUAGAGCUUCUGGGAGACUUUGGGAAACUUUUGAGUAAAAGUCUCUUCUAAAGACUUAGGAAUUUUCUAGCAGAAAAAUUUACUGUUAUAAUAACUGAAGCACAAAACUGACAAACACCAAGGUGCUGUGUUCAAACUUCUGCCCACAAACACAGCAAAUUUUUCCAUUCGUGGUUAGAAACAGACAAAACUGGGCCGUUAGUCAGUAUAUUCCACUGUAACUGGAAUUCCACCUAUUUGUAGCAACUGGGCAGAAUAACCAUGAGAGCCUGGUAGUCCACUUGACUGGAUGUGCCAUCAUAGGUGCCACUGUUUUGAAAAAAAAUUUCCGAAGUUCCAAAUGCAAGUUAUCUCCCAGUUUCCCUUUGAAAGCCCAUUGGAAUUAAGAGGCUCAAUACCACCAUAUCUUUAAAAAAUGCAGACCUUGCUACCUUGUUUGUUACUCUGAUGUUAACAAUUGUAUUUGUAGAACUGCUCUCUGCUCUGUUUUUUUCUAUUUGCAGUUUGCUGCUGCACCCCAUGCAAAUCCUGUAAUUUAUAGAGUAAGAAAAGAAUGAGCCUCGCUACAGUUUUAUGGGUGUUAGGGGAAUGGUUCACAGUAGAGCAAUCCAGAUAAGGUUCAAGGGAAAUAGAAGAUAUGCUGUCGUAUGUGCUUUUAACGAGCCUGAAACUAAACAUCACUACAAUGUCUUUUCAGUCUAUUAAUUGUCAUAUGUUGCAAGUAAACACAAACAUCAAAUACUGUUUCAGAGAGACUGCAUGCCAAGAAGGUAGGUAGCGCUGUGCUUGCUUCCCAGCUUCCUCUAAUGUCUCAAGCUCAAGUGUGUAGUAUCUCUGUACAAAAAACAAAGGUUUUCCUAUUUCUAAGCAGGGACAUAAACUACCUCAACAGCCUUUGAUUCUAUUCUGGGGCAGCAAGCUGAUGUAAGCCAGGAAUUUUGCUUUUGUUUGUACUAAAGGAAUUGCAGGUUUAUUUGAUUGAAUGCAUCCAGUAAAUAAACAAACCUAUAAAGUUACAAUUCCACAGAAACAUUACACUUCCUAAAAUUAUCCAUGGAUAAUAUGCUAGAGCAAAACAAAGUAUUUGGGCAAAGAAAAUAAGCUACCAAAAAUGAAUGUAUUGCAUUAAUGUAAUGGCAGAGGUUUUGAGAGGAUUUCAAGCAAAAUUUAAGUUAUAAAUGUGGCUAGAAAAGGAUACAAUGACAUUUUAUUUUAUGAUUAAAUUCAGUUCUUAACAUACUUUUUAAGAACAUGCUCUUCUAAAACGUGUAGAUCUGCAGCAUUUUUAUCAUACUGGUAAGUCUGAAUUGCUGUGAUUUUAGCUUUGUCAAGGUUUGUGAGAAAUCAUGUCUGCUUUAAAAUGAACAUUGUUUUCUCUUGUGCUAUGAUAAGACUUCUUGAUUUCAAAUGCAGGAAGGAAUCUGAGGUCAAGGGAGAAUAUUCUACUUAACAUGGUAGAUGCACGGAAAGAAACUUUUAACAGAAGAAUGUUGAUGGACAGUAUUAAUUAUCCUGCAGGCUGUUCGUGUCUAAAUAUUUGAAAGGCAUAAACGUUCCCUAAAGCACAAGGGAAACUGAAGGCUGCUCCUUGGGGCUCUCUGAAGCUGUGAUCAGGUAUGGAACAUAAAUGUGAAGAGCAAUGCAGAGCACCCUUGUCUUUAUAUCUCUUUCAGUUGCAUGAUUUGUUUGCAAGGUAUAUUUCUGAACCUGCUCAGGGAGCAGUUCAUAAUUAAAACUUUUUUUCUGUCAAGGCUCUUCCAAGAAAUCAGAACUAGAACUCAAGCCAAAAUAAAACGCUUGAAUCAGUUUCCCUGUCCCACUUGCUGCACUGACCCACGGUGGCACAAUGGCCAAGCUGUACAAGCAAAUAGUGCAGAGGAAUAGGAGCGUAUCCGCAGGGUGAAAUAUCAUGCUGAGGAUCCAUUGUCUACACUAAGUGCAUUCCAGGAGGCUGCAUUUCAGACUGACUCUAAUCUGGCCCUGUGUUCUGAAUACCUUUUUGUUGCUAGAAGAGUGUUUCUGGAGCAUAUCUUUUAGCUUAAUUUCAGAGGGAAGCUGGCAUGCAUGUUUUGGGACUGCUCCCCACCGUGAACCAAAGCAGGAAAAGCGGGAGGGUCCUGGUGCCAACCUACAGGGCUAAGGUAGGCUUACUCUUUGCAGUUACUAUGGCAGAGGGAGAAUAGGAAGUGGAGGUAAAGCAUGGACAUUGUUUAAACCAACCCAACACCAUGAGGGCAAAGGAAACCUCAGAUUUAUAUUUGCUGAUUGAACAACUGCAGUAGUGUACAUUACGAUUGGCAUUUGCUGCAGUUUGCUGCCUUUGUACCAAAUAUUUUUCCUUCCACUGCACUGCCAGUAACAAGAAAAGUGUGGGUGUUCCUUGUUUGUCUCAGGAGAAAUGUGGAUGACCUACAUUAAAUUGCUAGAGGAAGUGUUUUGAAGCAACCUAGCUUGCUCAGCCCUGAAACAGCAAAAGGUGCCCUUAUAUUUCCCAUCUCUGAGCUCUGCUCCGAUGGAGGUAACCUUCAGAGAGGGGCAGCAAUAUUUCAUGCAGGUCUAACUACUUGGUAAAUGAACAGCUGUAUAAGCCAUGACUGAGGCUUUUGAAUCACAAGUUGCCUUAUACACAUGGUUUUAAACAGGUUUCUUGGGAGAAGGCAAGGGAGAUAUACUUGUAAGCUGAUUCAUAAGGAGAUAAGAAAAACUUGGAUUUUUACUUUUUUUUUACCAUUUUCCUUAUGUUUUCUCUGCGUCUUUAUCUCCUACCUGAAAUUAACCUUUCCAACAGCUUUUGUCUUUUACUCCUCUCUUUUUCUUUCAGUAGAUGCCUUUAUGGGAUAAACCAAUGCAAACAUAGAAUACACAUGUAUUAUCUUGUGUAAAAACUGUAUACCAGGCUGAUAGGCAGAACCAAAAGGAAUGGGUUGCAAGAAAGCCUGUAAAGAGAAGAAGAGCUGAACUGAGAGAUGUUAGUGAGGAAGAAAUACAGCAGUGACCUUAAAUGCGAUGAGUGGUCUAUGAGGCUAGAACAGCAAAGAGGGACAGAAGCUGAAUUCAGGGAAUAGCCAACCUCCACGAAUAGUAAUGCUGCCAGAAGUGCCCCGAGGGAAGCAGUGUCUAGGAGAAUUGUAGAAUUCAGGAAUACAGGGAACUAGAAAACUGUCCACCUUGUUAUGUCUGUUACCAACUGUUAAAUCAAGAAGUGGCUCUGUCAUUGGAGAAAAAAAAAAAAAGCUUAGAUUCUGUGAAAUUGUAUUUUAAAACCUUACAACAUAAACCACUUCACUAUGUAAAAAAGAAAACUCGGGAUCUCUCAAAUAGAGAUGGUCAAAAACUGUGUAAAACAACCCAAGCAUCACAGUUGUGGAGUGACAACACUAAAGAAACAAGCCAACAGAAGAGAGAUAACAUUACUGGCAGGACAAGAUGCACUUAAUGCCUUUUGCCAGGCUCUAAACUGACAGGGUUAAAUGCAUUCUUACAUGGAAAUCCAGCUCCAGGAAAACAAGGAAUGAGCUUGUGAUUUUGGCUAUGUGUUCAGCUCAGAAGCACAGAAGGUAUUGCAUCCAUGGUGUCCGUGAUUGCUGCGGGACAUUUCUAGAGUUAUUUUUUCUGAUGGAGGACUUCCCCCAAAUACUUGUGCUGAAACUACAGCCAGGGGAAUUAGGGUGUAGAAAGGUCAAAGUGAUGGAAGAAGCUGAUGGAAGAUCCUGAAAAAGGAGGGAGGCUGAAGCCAGGAAAAUUUCUUCCAGUUUUUUUAGCUCAUUCCUGUUGGAAGCUUGUUUACAUAAAAAGGAAAUGUUUAAAUGACUCACUGUCACAGUAGCUAUAAACGAAGCUCUUACAAAAAUCUGCCAGCUUUUCACUUCUUAUUUAUUUAUUACUCCUAGAGAUUAAUAACUGAAGUUCUCAUACAGGCAUGAAUAAUUAAUUUGAUCCAUUGCUUGUCACACUUAAGGGCUAGGUUUGUCCUGGCAAGUUACAGCUCUGCAUAACAGGACCUAACACUUAAGUUUUGUACAAGCAUAGAAUCAUAGAAUUCUUAGAAUUGGAAGGGACCUUUAAAGGUCAUCUAAUCCAACCCCUCUGCAAUGAACAGGGACAUCCACAGAUAGAUCAGGUCACUCAGUGCUUGGUCCAGCCUGGCCUUGAGUGUCUUCAGGGAUGGGGCAUUCACCACAUUUCAGGACAACCUGUUCCAGUGCCUCAUCAUCCUCACUGUAAAAUACGCUCUCCUUAUAUCUAACAUAAAUCUCUACUUUUUAAGUUUGAAAUAAUUUUCCCACUUUCUCUCAGCACAGACUCCGAUAAUGAGUCUGUCCCAUUCUUUCCUGUAGCUCCCCUUUAGAUACUGAAAGGCCACUAUUAGGUCACCUUCUCUUCCCCAGGCUGAACAGCCCAAGCUCUUUCAAUCUGUCCUCAUAGGAGAGGUAUUCCAUCCCUUGA